UAGGGAAUCUUCGGCAAUGGACGAAAGUCUGACCGAGCAACGCCGCGUGAGUGAAGAAGGUUUUCGGAUCGUAAAACUCUGUUGUUAGAGAAGAACAAGGACGUUAGUAACUGAACGUCCCCUGACGGUAUCUAACCAGAAAGCCACGGCUAACUACGUGCCAGCAGCCGCGGUAAUACGUAGGUGGCAAGCGUUGUCCGGAUUUAUUGGGCGUAAAGCGAGCGCAGGCGGUUUCUUAAGUCUGAUGUGAAAGCCCCCGGCUCAACCGGGGAGGGUCAUUGGAAACUGGGAGGCUUGAGUGCAGAAGAGGAGGGUGGAAUUCCAUGUGUAGCGGUGAAAUGCGUAGAUAUAUGGAGGAACACCAGUGGCGAAGGCGGCUCUCUGGACUGUAACUGACGCUGAGGCUCGAAAGCGUGGGGAGCAAACAGG
rnacentral:rRNA from 1 species